rnacentral:rRNA from 1 species
ACGAACGCUGGCGGCGUGGAUAAGACAUGCAAGUCGAACGAGAGAAUUGCUAGCUUGCUAAUAAUUCUCUAGUGGCGCACGGGUGAGUAACACGUGAGUAACCUGCCCCCGAGAGCGGGAUAGCCCUGGGAAACUGGGAUUAAUACCGCAUAGUAUCGAAAGAUUAAAGCAGCAAUGCGCUUGGGGAUGGGCUCGCGGCCUAUUAGUUAGUUGGUGAGGUAACGGCUCACCAAGGCGAUGACGGGUAGCCGGUCUGAGAGGAUGUCCGGCCACACUGGAACUGAGACACGGUCCAGACACCUACGGGUGGCAGCAGUCGAGAAUCAUUCACAAUGGGGGAAACCCUGAUGGUGCGACGCCGCGUGGGGGAAUGAAGGUCUUCGGAUUGUAAACCCCUGUCAUGUGGGAGCAAAUUAAAAAGAUAGUACCACAAGAGGAAGAGACGGCUAACUCUGUGCCAGCAGCCGCGGUAAUACAGAGGUCUCAAGCGUUGUUCGGAAUCACUGGGCGUAAAGCGUGCGUAGGCUGUUUCGUAAGUCGUGUGUGAAAGGCGCGGGCUCAACCCGCGGACGGCACAUGAUACUGCGAGACUAGAGUAAUGGAGGGGGAACCGGAAUUCUCGGUGUAGCAGUGAAAUGCGUAGAUAUCGAGAGGAACACUCGUGGCGAAGGCGGGUUCCUGGACAUUAACUGACGCUGAGGCACGAAGGCCAGGGGAGCGAAAGGGAUUAGAUACCCCUGUAGUCCUGGCAGUAAACGGUGCACGCUUGGUGUGCGGGGAAUUGACCCCCUGCGUGCCGGAGCUAACGCGUUAAGCGUGCCGCCUGGGGAGUACGGUCGCAAGAUUAAAACUCAAAGAAAUUGACGGGGACCCGCACAAGCGGUGGAGUAUGUGGCUUAAUUCGAUGCAACGCGAAGAACCUUACCUGGGCUUGACAUGUAAUGAACAACAUGUGAAAGCAUGCGACUCUUCGGAGGCGUUACACAGGUGCUGCAUGGCCGUCGUCAGCUCGUGUCGUGAGAUGUUUGGUUAAGUCCAGCAACGAGCGCAACCCCUGUUGCCAGUUACCAGCACGUGAAGGUGGGGACUCUGGCGAGACUGCCCAGAUCAACUGGGAGGAAGGUGGGGACGACGUCAGGUCAGUACGGCCCUUAUGCCCAGGGCUGCACACGUACUACAAUGCCCAGUACAGAGGGGGCCGAAGCCGCGAGGCGGAGGAAAUCCUGAAAACUGGGCCCAGUUCGGACUGUAGGCUGCAACCCGCCUACACGAAGCCGGAAUCGCUAGUAAUGGCGCAUCAGCUACGGCGCCGUGAAUACGUUCCCGGGUCUUGUACACACCGCCCGUCACAUCAUGGAAGCCGGUCGCACCCGAAGUAUCUGAAGCCAACCGCAAGGAGGCAGGGUCCUAAGGUGAGACUGGUAACUGGGAUG